rnacentral:lncRNA from 1 species
CUCAUUCCAGGGAAUCGUUUCUCUCUCUCUGGCCUUCCAGGCAGUAACAGAAGGGCCAGACCCUGAGCAGCUCAAAGAAAGACCAAGGAACUCAUUCAAGCUUUGUCUCUCCAGGCUCCUAGGGUGCAGUGCUCUGUGAACCACACAUUUAACUUCUGAAAAUUGAUUUUUAACAUCUACAAGAUGCCCACUAGUAGUUCCCAUAUAAACCCUGGCUCACUCCAAAACAUCUGGAGAUCUCAAAUAGCCCCAGACUAUUUGCCUUAACUGUUACUGUGAGUGUGACUCUCGGGGGCCACCACAUUCAGGGCCAGCCAAUCCGCCUAUGACCGACACUGCAUAGCUUUGUGGCCCUGCAUGGUACAUGCUCAACAGACACUUGAGUCAUAAAACUACAACUCCUCCCAGCUUCUCUCCAUCUGCCUCUGGCCACUGAGCAGCUCACCCAAGGUAAUGUUAGAUUAGAACAACCCAAGAUCAGAGCUGAAAACUGUGGCAGCCAAAGAAAGGGCUAUUUAUCAGGGACACUGGUGAAGGAGCUGAACUUGAAACCAGGAUUCCAAGAAAGAGGAUUUUCCUGAAGAGGGAUGAUUACAGACCCAAUUCCUUCCUUGACUUCAUAAACUCAAUAGCUUAGUUUGGCAUUUACUUGAGAUGUGUUUCAUCCAGACUUGUUAGGUAAUAAAAUGACAACCAUAUGAACAUGCUGGCGAAAUGUAUAAUUACACAUUCAGGUGGAAUGGAAACCGACUCUAACUGAAGACUGUUGAUUAAGGACAUCUGACACCAGGAAGGCGGUGAGAGCCACUAAUCAGACUCCUCUGUGACUUGGAGGAGAUGUUCAGAUGCCCUGAGGUUGAGCGCAGGUGGAGGAAGCAGAUCCAACUACACACAGGACCACAGACAGUUGGCAUAAGAGCAGCACCCAGAAGCCCUUUCUCAGGGAAUUUGGUCAACUACAACCCAAGAUCCAGCUGCUCCCAUUUAUUGGACAAAUUCAAGGACCAUGACUAUGUCUAAAGCCACACUAGGAAUAAGAAUCAGCAGCAC